rnacentral:rRNA from 1 species
AGUGAACGCUGGCGGUAGGCCUAACACAUGCAAGUCGAACGGCAGCACAGUAAGAGCUUGCUCUUACGGGUGGCGAGUGGCGGACGGGUGAGGAAUACAUCGGAAUCUACUUUUUCGUGGGGGAUAACGUAGGGAAACUUACGCUAAUACCGCAUACGACCUACGGGUGAAAGCAGGGGAUCUUCGGACCUUGCGCGAUUGAAUGAGCCGAUGUCGGAUUAGCUAGUUGGCGGGGUAAAGGCCCACCCAGGCGACGAUCCGUAGCUGGUCUGAGAGGAUGAUCAGCCACACUGGAACUGAGACACGGGCCAGACUCCUACGGGAGGCAGCAGUGGGGAAUAUUGGACAAUGGGCGCAAGCCUGAUCCAGCCAUACCGCGUGGGUGAAGAAGGCCUUCGGGUUGUAAAGCCCUUUUGUUGGGAAAGAAAAGCAGCAGGUUAAUACCCCGCUGUUCUGACGGUACCCAAAGAAUAAGCACCGGCGAACUUCGU